rnacentral:rRNA from 1 species
GUUAUAGGGUCAAGCGAACAAGUGCAUGUGGUGGAUGCCUUGGCGAUCACAGGCGAUGAAGGACGCGGUAGCCUGCGAAAAGCUACGGGGAGCUGGCAAACAAGCUUUGAUCCGUAGAUGUCCGAAUGGGGAAACCCACUCCUUUUGGAGUAUCCAUGGCUGAAUACAUAGGCCAUGUGAAGCGAACGCGGUGAACUGAAACAUCUAAGUAACCGCAGGAAAAGAAAUCAACCGAGAUUCCCAAAGUAGUGGCGAGCGAAAUGGGAUGAGCCUUGCACUCUUUAUUUGUAUUGUUAGCCGAACGCUCUGGAAAGUGCGGCCAUAGCAGGUGAUAGCCCUGUAGGCGAAAACAGUAUGAAAGAACUAGGUGUGCGACAAGUAGGGCGGGACACGUGAAAUCCUGUCUGAAGAUGGGGGGACCAUCCUCCAAGGCUAAAUACUCGUGAUCGACCGAUAGUGAACCAGUACCGUGAGGGAAAGGCGAAAAGAACCCCGGGAGGGGAGUGAAAUAGAUCCUGAAACCGCAUGCAUACAAACAGUCGGAGCCUCGUAAGGGGUGACGGCGUACCUUUUGUAUAAUGGGUCAGCGACUUACGUUCAGUAGCAAGCUUAACCGUAUAGGGCAGGCGUAGCGAAAGCGAGUCCGAAUAGGGCGUUCAGUUGCUGGGCGUAGACCCGAAACCAGGUGAUCUAUCCAUGGCCAGGAUGAAGGUGCGGUAACACGUACUGGAGGUCCGAACCCACUAACGUUGAAAAGUUAGGGGAUGAGCUGUGGAUAGGGGUGAAAGGCUAAACAAACCUGGAAAUAGCUGGUUCUCUCCGAAAACUAUUUAGGUAGUGCCUCGUGUCUCACCUUCGGGGGUAGAGCACUGUCAUGGUUGGGGGUCUAUUGCAG